CUGUCCUAUGUGGCUGUCCAAAGAAUACUUCUGUGGUACAGAGAAGAUUAGCAUGGCCUCUGCGUAAGGAUGACAUGCAAAUUCAUGAAGCAUUCCAUAUUUAA